rnacentral:rRNA from 1 species
UGUGUCAGCCGCCGCGGUAAUACGUAGGGUGCGAACAUUAUCCGGAUUUAUUGGGCGUAAAGAGCUCGUAGGUGGUUUGGAAAGUCGGGCAUGAAAGCCCUCGGCUUAACCGAGGAAUUGUACCCGAAACUUCCUGACUAGAGGUAUGCAGGGGCAGAUGGAACUUACGGUGUAGCAGUGAUAUGCGUAGAUAUCGUAAGGAACGCCGAUGGUGAAGACAAUCUGCUGGGCAUUACCUGACACUGAGGAGCGAAAGCGUGGGGAGCGAACGGGAUUAGAUACCCCGGUAGUCCACGCCGUAAACAAUGCACACUAGGAAUGUGGAGAAUCGACCCUCUGCGUUUCGAAGCUAACGCGUUAAGUGUGCCGCCUGGGUAGUACGGCCGCAAGGCUAAAACUCAAAGGAAUUGACGGGGGCCCGCACA